AAACGCAAGAGAGUGGCAGAAUCUGCCACAGACUCCCGAAUCUGACGAUGGUCAUAAUUCCUCUCUGGAUAAAUAGACUGAUAACAGUUUGGCUGUUCGUGAUGUUCCUGCAGAAUCAAACCCAAGCAAAUCAACUACUUGUGACCAUUCCAGAUCAAAAGUAUUUGAUGAUGGUCAUAAUUUCUCUCUGGAUGAACAAACUGAAAGCAGUUUAGCUGUUGGUGAUGUGACCAUGGCCUCAGCAUCUUUAGAAAAUACGGAAGUUGUGUCUUCACCUACCUGCUACCUGCUACCUGCCGAAGCCUGAAACUAGUUUGGAGAAUUCAUUGGAGUUGCAAGCAAAUGGAGUUGGUAUCAAAUAGUUGCCAAGAGAUGGAGCAAGGGAUCACGCAUCAGCCAGAAGCUGACUUAAAGUGUUCUCUGGUGGUUCAAUCUGAUGAGCUUGAUGUGGAAAAUUCGGAAGAAGAUAAGGCAUCAUUUUAUCAAGUCUUCUAUCUGUACAGGCAGGGUCUCAAAACCACAUGGAUUCGGAGAAAUCCAACCAGUUACCAUUUAUGGAUCAAAUCAAUCAGGAAGAAUGCUUGGAUGCUUCCCCGGAAUGUCAUCCUGAAUAUCUUCCAAGCCAUGCUUUAACAUCAAAGUUCUUACCAGAACCAUUAGGCCAGAAACUUGAUGUUAUGUAGUAAACAUUGGAACCAUUAGAUUCUACCCUUCCUAUAUCAGUCCUGCCCAUUGAAGCUACUGUAGUCAAUCUGGAAGACAUGUCACCAUGGCCACCUUUACGACCAAUGAAAUGGAGGAUGGGAAUACAACAUGAUCCCCUUUUUUCAGAGAGAAUUGGUUGGAGUUGGUUAGGAUUCUUUGCUGCCAAUACAGCCAUCGGAAUCUGUUGAGAAAGCUCAAUUUGAUAUGCCAAUGCCACAGAGCAAGGUGCUGCCACCCCAGAACCCAUUUUUGCCUCUCAUGUCUGAAGAAGGCGAGAAGUUCCAACAUGUUUCUGGACCUGUAAUGGGCAAUGUGGUGGAUCCUGCCCCGUAUUCAUUGCGUUUACCAGCCAUGGUUAAUGAUGCUAAUCAUCAAUACAAUUUUCCUGAUUUAAGGGGGGGGGCACAAUUCUCAAGCUCAUUUUUAUCGUUACCAGAGGUAUCUCAUGAUAGGCCAGGAAGCAAUCACUUUGCUUCAGAGGGAGAAAAAGUUCAGACUGGUUCCAAUCUAUUCACUAGACCAAGCUCUGAAUGUACAACUUCUACAAAUGACCCUGAAUCUUCUCAUGGAUCUAUUAUCCAGCCUGUGCAGCAGGUAACGCCAGAGACAGGUAUCGAGCUCAAUGUACUUCAGCAUUCACUGAAAAAAUCAGAAUCAGAACGGGGAGAACCUCUUUCCACGUCUGUGACAGCACCACCAAUGGUUGAGCACCCUCAGCAUAGUAUGCCAAUAUCAGGGGGAGAAACAGCAUGGUCAUCCCAUAAUUCUGCUGUAAUGUCAGACUGUGAAGUUGGAAGGUGUAAUGGAGUUCCAGUUACUAAGAUCACUCUGUCUUUCAGCGCAUGCUCUUCCUGAAAUUUAUGCUCUACAAAAUACCUUUCUGACAUUUUGACAUUUUACAGUUGAGAAAAGUCACUGAACAAGUUCGGCCUCAGGUCGAACCUAAGGUAGAUGAAAGAGAUUCGUUGCUGCUAAAGAUAAGAACUAAGUCCUUCAAAUUGAAGCCUGCAACGGUGGCAAAAUCUUUAACAUUGACAAGACCCAGCAUUCAUGGUCCUGCAACCAACUUGAGGGUUGCUGCUAUCUUAGAGAAAGCAAAUGCAAUUCGCCAGGUUUUGAUCGUGCUACAAAACUAGAAGAAGAAGAAGAGCAGAGUAGACUGGUGAGCAGUAUUCAGAUGAUCCGUUGAAGUUAUUCGUCACUCUUUCUUUAUUCUUCUGAUGUACAUGAGAUUAGUUGUACAUAAGAUUUAAGAUGUAUAUAAAUCUCACAUUAAAAAUAUGUCAAUUUCAGUACCAACAAGGCAGCAAUACAGAUUGAAAUUACAGUUCA